CACGUAGGGUGCGAGCGUUGUCCGGAAUUAUUGGGCGUAAAGAGCUCGUAGGCGGUUCGUCACGUCGGCUGUGAAAUCCCGAGGCUCAACCUCGGGUCUGCAGUCGAUACGGGCGGACUGGAGUACUGCAGGGGAGACUGGAAUUCCUGGUGUAGCGGUGAAAUGCGCAGAUAUCAGGAGGAACACCGGUGGCGAAGGCAGCCCCCUGGGCUGAGAUUGACGCUCAGGCACGAAAGCGUGGGGAGCAAACAGG
rnacentral:rRNA from 1 species